rnacentral:rRNA from 1 species
ACUUGUAGCGUUGUUCUCUGACGCUUACGAUCAUGUUCCCUCAAUAAUUUCUUCCUGAGACGAAAGGUUUUGGGCGUAAUUUCUAUAAGCUCGUCAUCUUCAAUGUAUUCUAACGCCAUUUCCAGCGUUAAAUCCCUGGGAGAUGAAAGUUUAAUUCCCUUAUCCGCCGUAGCUGAUCUCAUAUUUGUAGCCUUUUUGGCACGGCACACGUUUACGGCUAUAUCGUUCUGUUCGCAAUGUUCACCAACUAUCAUACCUUCGUAAACCUUAUCGCCAGGUUUGGCAAACAUAACCCCGCGGUCACGUAAACCGUCAAGGGCAUAUGCCAUCACAUCUCCAUUUGACAUAGAGACAAUGACACCCUGAGACCUGUGUGGAAUGUCACCCUUGAAAUACUCGUAUUCGUAAAAGUUGUGAUACAUGAUGGCGGUUCCCUGUGUGGAACUGAGGAGCCUGAGUCUUAAUCCAACCAAUCCACGUGAAGGAAGUUUGAACUCAAAAUUUAUCCGUCCGUUGCUUUCCCGCAUGUUCAACAUUUCUCCCUUUCUUAACCCCAGCAAUGAAAUAACCUGUCCAUCAAAUUCCUUUGGUACAUCAAUUACAAGGAACUCUACGGGCUCGGCUUUUUUUCCAUUAAUUUCCUUGUAUAUAACCUUUGGUUUUGAAACCUGGAGUUCAUAUCCUUCUCUCCUCAUAUUUUCAAUCAAAACUGAAAGAUGCAGUAACCCUCUUCCUGCUACAUGAAACGACUCGCUGGAGUUAGUAUCGUGUACUUUUAAUGAGACGUUUGAACGUAACUCUCUAUAUAACCUUUCUCUCAAAUUACGGCUUGUUACAUACUUCCCGUCCUUGCCCGCAAAUGGGGAGUUGUUCACUGAAAACAGCAUCGAUAGCGUAGGUUCGUCAAUACUUAUGAUGGGAAGCGGUUUAGGGUUAUUUGCAUCUGCGAGGGUAUCGCCAAUUUCCACGUUUUCUAUCCCUGUAACAGCUACAAUGUCACCUGCAGUCGCCUCCUGAACACUUUCUCGCUCCAAACCAGAGAAAGAAUAGAUUUUUCCUAUUCUUUCAUUACGCUUUUCUCCAUCCAUUUUAAGCCAUGCUACAUUACUGCCGGAGUUUAUACUUCCAUUUGUAAUCUUGCCAAUUCCUAUCCUGCCUACGUAAUCGUUAUAAUCCAGCGCCUGUACAAGCAUCUGGAAUGGUUCGUCCGGAUUUGCCGUUGGCGGAGGGAUGUGUUUUAUAAUAGCAUCCAGUAGUGGUGCCAGAUCAUUGCUUUUCUGUUCCACUUCGAGUUUUGCAUAUCCAUCUCUUGCGCUGGCGUAUACUACGGUAAAGUCUAACUGUUUAUCGUCGGCAUUUAAGUCUACAAACAGGUCAAAUAUUUCAUCAAGGACAUCAUUUGGUCUUCCAUCAGGCCUGUCAAUCUUAUUGAUUUGAUUUUCAGGAGUAAGGUGUGGCAAGAAAAAGCCCGGUGUAUGCUAAGGAGACCGUACCGUAAACCGACACAGGUAGGCGAGGAGAGAAUCCUAAGGUGCUUGAGAGAAUUCUGGUCAAGGAACUCGGCAAAAUAGCCCCGUAACUUCGGGAGAAGGGGUGCCCGGCAUCUGCCGGGCCGCAGUGAAAUGGGGGUAGCGACUGUUUACUAAAAACAUAGGUCUAUGCUAACACGUAAGUGGAAAUAUAUGGACUGACACCUGCCCGGUGCUGGAAGGUUAAGAUACUUUGUCAUUCAGACUUGUCUGAAGAAGCUCGGUGUUGAAGCCCCAGUAAACGGCGGCCGUAACUAUAACGGUCCUAAGGUAGCGAAAUUCCUUGUCGGGUAAGUUCCGACCUGCACGAAUGGUGUAACGACUUCCCCACUGUCUCGACCAGAAACUCAGCGAAAUUGUAAUGUCGGUGAAGAUACCGGCUAACCAUAGAAGGACGGAAAGACCCCGUGAACCUUUACUAUAGCUUGAUAUUGACUUUUGAUCCUGCAUGUGUAGGAUAGGUGGGAGACUUUGAAGCAGGUGCGCUAGUGCUUGUGGAGUCAUCCUUGAAAUACCACCCUUGUAUUAUUGAAAGUCUAACCGUGUACCUUGAAUCAGGUAUCGGGACAGUGUCUGGUGGGUAGUUUGACUGGGGCGGUCUCCUCCUAAAGAGUAACGGAGGAGCUCAAAGGUUCCCUCAGCACGGUCGGUAAUCGUGCGCAGAGUGUAAACGCAUAAGGGAGCUUGACUGUGAGUCCGACAGGACGAACAGGUGCGAAAGCAGGAGUUAGUGAUCCGGUGGUUCCGAGUGGAAGGGCCAUCGCUAAUCGGAUAAAAGGUACUCCGGGGAUAACAGGCUUAUCUCCCCUAAGAGCUCAUAUCGACGGGGAGGUUUGGCACCUCGAUGUCGGCUCGUCGCAUCCUGGGGCUGGAGAAGGUCCCAAGGGUUGGGCUGUUCGCCCAUUAAAGUGGCACGCGAGCUGGGUUUAGAACGUCGUGAGACAGUUCGGUCCCUAUCCUCUAUGGUCGUAGGAAAUUUGAGGGAAUCUGCUUCUAGUACGAGAGGACCGAAGUGGACGAACCUCUAGUGUACCUGUUGUUGCAUCAGCAGCAUUGCAGGGUAGCUACGUUCGGCAGGGAUAAGCGCUGAAAGCAUAUAAGCGCGAAACCCAUCCCAAGAUAAGAUUUCCCUUCCCACCUCGGUGGGACUGAAGACUUCCAGUAGAAUACUGGUUUGAUAGGUCACAGAUGUAAGUGCAGUAAUGUACUCAGUCGAGUGAUACUAAUUAGUCGUGAGACUUAAUC